CUCAUAUCUAAGCAAUGAAACAGGAAGUAUGCCCCUUUUUCUCCUUCCUCCUCCAGCGGCAGGAUGUGAUCCACCAGCAAGGAGGGACGCCAAUAAGGUGUCCGGAUCUUCCACUGGGUAUCAGAUGUAUGCUAACGAAGCUGGAAGACCAUGAUAACACAAACCUUCUACAGCCCAUUUGCUGCGAGACUCCUUCAGGAGCCAGAAGAAGGAGUCAGGUCCCCUGGUCUGGGAUCCCCAAUGGUUGUAAGCUAUCAUGGGUGCUGGGAACUGAAGUCCAGUCUUUGAAUGGUCUACGAGUCAAGAUGCUCAAUGAAGAGACAGGAGGCCACAGGUGGAGACAGAGGCAAAAGGAGGAUCAUGUGAAGAGCAACCUGUUGUUAUUGAGCACCGUGAGAGGAAGAUCCAGGAGGUCAGUGCAAGAGUCAAUGAGCACUCUACAGAGCACUGCAGCUAUCAGUGAGAACUGUGUGAGGAGCCUGGACAUCACUGAUGCAACAUUCAGAGAACACUGCCGCCUGUCGAGCACCCCUGCAGUCAGUGAGCACCCUCUGUGGAGCACAAUUCUCUCAACAAUGGUGGCAGCCUGGAGGCCCAGGAGGAUGGGGCCCGCGCUGGUGACUGGAAUGGGGUCUACCGGGGAGGCAGCGGCAGUGGCAGCUGGGAGGGCGGAGUGCGCGCACCUGGUAUCUUCCGGUGGCCCACCGUGCUGGAGGUAGGACUGGUCAUCGAGGAGCCCACCAGCCUCGUGGACCUGCUCCCCAUCCUAAAUUACGUGUGCCGCGGGAACCUCCCCCAGGACAGAGUGACUGAUGGCAGGAAUCUGAUGCGGCUGCUGGAGGGUUGUGCAGCGCUCAGACCAUGAGUUCCUGUUCCACUACUGUGGCCUUUUCCUACACAGCGUCCGGUGGCACUAGAAGGAUUGAGACACUAUUUUCUAAUUAUUCUAAACUAAUAGAAUUUUAUUUUCUCAAUAUAUUAUUUAUUAACGUUUCUUCAGCUAUAAAAU
rnacentral:lncRNA from 1 species